rnacentral:rRNA from 1 species
UACCGGCGGCCCGAGUGGCGGUAACUAUUAUUGGGCCUAAAGCGUCCGUAGCCGGGUUGGGAAGUCCUCCGGGAAAUCUGGCCGCUUAACGGUCAGAAUGCCGGAGGAUACUCCCAGCCUAGGGAGCGGGAGAGGCCGAGGGUAUUCCCGGAGUAGGGGUGAAAUCCUAUAAUCCCGGGAGGACCACCUGUGGCGAAGGCGCUCGGCUGGAACGCGUCCGACGGUGAGGGACGAAGGCCAGGGGAGCAAACCGG